CAAGUUUGUUACAGCCAUGAUAUAACAAGGAUGUUACAAGGUUGUCAACACAAGGUUGCAACAAUCUUGUUAUAUCAAGCAUGUAACAGUCCGUUACAUGCUUGAUAUAACAAGAUAAAUUACAAUUCUUAUCCCAUACCUGUGUUAAAAGCGGCUUUCUGAUUGGUUUAGAGCAGGUGAGCUUGUCGUCGAGCUCACCUGCUUUUUGCCGAGCUCACCUGCUUUUCGCCCGAACUCACCCGCUAAACUGCUUACGUUGCAAUAACAAUAACAAAUAUGGCGGACAAGAUUUAGCCGAUAAACCUAAACUUUAAAGAACUAUUUUCGGUGACUAACAUACUGAGACUGAAGAAAAACCAAAGAAAAAAUGCAGUAAAGGUAAUGUAGACGUAGAUAAAGAAGUAUUUUCUUGCCCAGUGAUUUUUUUGGCCGGGAAAAUGUUCACAAAACAUCGACGAGACGACGAAUAUAUCGCGAAGAGCUACAAAUGUGUGUAUGGCUCGGUCAGCCUCGGUGUAUGGGAUAAAAACCAAACGUACUUGC